UCCUUGGUAGCUCAGUCGGUAGAGCAACUGGCUGUUAACCAGUGGGUCCGAGGUUCGAGCCCUCGCCAAGGAGCCA
rnacentral:tRNA from 1 species